CCACCGCAAAGUGCUGCACGUAGUGCGGGGGCCGAGAAAGCGACAGCGCAGCUACACACGUAGAAGGACGGAAAAAUCCUGCACGGACCCGGGUUCGAUUCCCGGCAUCUCCACAA
rnacentral:tmRNA from 1 species